GGCUUCAUAGCUCAGUGGGUAGAGCACUGGUCUUGUAAACCAGCGGUCGUGAGUUCGAGUCUCACUGAAGCCU